AUGCAAGGCUUGGAGCCAGGCUGGCAGUUUGGUUCCACCGGUGGCCGCUCUGGUAUUUUCCCUACCAACCUAGUGCAAUUGGCUGCAGCCCCUGAUUACCUCAGCACCAGCAUGGACAGACAUGGAGGGCUGCAAAAGAGCACGAAAGUUUCCUUUGAUGGCAGGAACACCAACAGGGAGGCCUCUGUUCCCAGCCUGACAUCAGAGCCCUCCAGCAUCACGUCAGUCCCUGCUGGUGAUCAUUACACCAUGAUGGACUUCGCCGCUGCCUAUUUCCGAGAGGCUCAGUCCAUGUGAGUAGACUGUGCUCUCCCUCAGCAGGCAUACACUGGAUGUGUGUAGCCUGGCACUCACCAAGACAUUUCUGGGGGUAUUUCUUGGAUUGGCUCAUGUUCUCUUCAUCUGGUUAGGACGGAAUUGAAGGGGACACCUGCUGAAAAGAAGACUAUAGCUGACAUGGUCCAGUACACCAAGGUGAGCCCAUGCUUUCCCCACGGCAACAGCCAGAAUCCCAGCUCUAGCACUUCCUCUAGUUUUGCUCUGACACGGCAAAGACAGAGGACAGAUUUUUGGUUGCACUAUGCAGAGGAGUAGGUGACCCCCACUUAUCAAUGCUGCCUGCAAGAUACUGGGAGCUAUUGUCAUCUGUGAAGCCUACAGCACAGCUCUGUGCUGGUCUGCUCCCU
rnacentral:lncRNA from 1 species